rnacentral:rRNA from 1 species
GACGAACGCUGGCGGCGUGCUUAACACAUGCAAGUCGAACGGACAGGCCCUGCUUUUGUGGGGUGCUCGAGUGGCGAACGGGUGAGUAACACGUGAGUAACCUGCCCUUGACUUUGGGAUAACUUCAGGAAACUCGGGCUAAUACCGGAUAGGAGCUCCUGCUGCAUGGUGGGGGUUGGAAAGUUUCGGCGGUUGGGGAUGGACUCGCGGCUUAUCAGCUUGUUGGUGGGGUAGUGGCUGACCAAGGCUUUGACGGGUAGCCGGCCUGAGAGGGUGACCGGCGACAUUGGGACUGCGGUACGGACCAGACUCCUACGGGAGGCAGCAGUCGGGAAUAUUGCACAAUGGGCGGACGCCUGAUGCAGCAACGCCGCGUGCGGGAUGACGGCCUUCGGGUUGUAAACCGCUGUCGCCUGUGACGAAGCGUGAGUGACGGUAAUGGGUAAAGAAGCACCGGCUAACUACGUG